rnacentral:tRNA from 1 species
GACGUGCGCGUAAUUAAAAAAAAUAUCAAGCUGUGACCCUGAAAAUAGGGUUCUACCCUCACGCAC